rnacentral:rRNA from 1 species
UACGUAGGGGGCAAGCGUUGUCCGGAAUCAUUGGGCGUAAAGAGCGUGUAGGCGGCCCGAUAAGUCCGCUGUGAAAGUCCAGGGCUCAACCCUGGAAUGCCAGUGGAAACUGUCGGGCUAGAGUCCGGAAGAGGCGAGUGGAAUUCCUGGUGUAGCGGUGAAAUGCGCAGAUAUCAGGAGGAACACCAAUGGCGAAGGCAGCUCGCUGGGACGGUACUGACGCUGAGACGCGAAAGCGUGGGGAGCAAACAUG